rnacentral:rRNA from 1 species
UACGUAGGGUGCGAGCGUUGUCCGGAAUUAUUGGGCGUAAAGAGCUCGUAGGCGGUCUGUCGCGUCUGCUGUGAAAUCCCGAGGCUCAACCUCGGGCCUGCAGUGGGUACGGGCAGACUAGAGUGCGGUAGGGGAGAUUGGAAUUCCUGGUGUAGCGGUGGAAUGCGCAGAUAUCAGGAGGAACACCAAUUGCGAAGGCAGCUCGCUGGGACGUAACUGACGCUGAGACGCGAAAGCGUGGGGAGCAAACAGG